CAGUCGCCGCGGUAAUACAGAGGGUGCGAGCGUUAAUCGGAUUUACUGGGCGUAAAGCGUGCGUAGGCGGCUUCUUAAGUCGGAUGUGAAAUCCCUGAGCUUAACUUAGGAAUUGCAUUCGAUACUGGGAAGCUAGAGUAUGGGAGAGGAUGGUAGAAUUCCAGGUUUAGCGGUGAAAUGCGUAGAGAUCUGGAGGAAUACCGAUGGCGAAGGCAGCCAUCUGGCCUAAUACUGACGCUGAGGUACGAAAGCAUGGGGAGCAAACAGGAUUAGAUACCCCCGUAGUCCCUGUCUCUUAUAU
rnacentral:rRNA from 1 species